rnacentral:lncRNA from 1 species
CGUGCUUGAACCAGGUCGGGGCGCGAUCGUGUAAGGCAAGGUUCUGAACGCAGCUGAAACGCCUUCAGCCUCAGCUGACAGCUUGGUUCUCUUUCCCCAACUACCUGUCUGAGCACCUAACCCAAGAGGAUCCAGAGAAACGCCAGCCCCUCCCAGGGAGUUCCCCAUCAGGAUCUGAGUGAUGCUGUCCCUGAAGACAGGGAUUAUUCUUCAGGUCUCUGGUCCCUCAGGCUCCCAUCCUCUCUGCUCUCCCUUUUUCUUAUUACAGUGCACACAGCCUCGCCCCCUACCCCACCUACACUUGAGAGUUUGCAGCGUGGAUGCCCCAAGAACACAUUUUCCUAUUUAUUGUGUUAAAUACACAUAUGACCCCACGCGCAGAGGAGAGGAAUUAAGAAAGAUCCUACGUUAUAGCUGUUCCUGCAAAAGAUCUCUCAUCAGAACGGACUGUUCUGUUUAAAGGCUUACUCUAGGAGAAUGAAAACCACCAGGACGCACUACUUCGUUUCCUCAGCCAUGAAGGAAUGGAAGGAAGGACUUGGAGUGUCACAGCUGAACCCACAAGGGAGGACUGCCAGCCAACUUGGAGUCUAGAAGCUGUGCUCCUCAGCUUGGACUUCAGGGCUCCAUCAGCAGUUCUGGUUCCUUGACUUUCUGUUCCCAUCUCUACUGGCCUGUGGGGACACUAGGGUUGUGAUGGUUUCUAUAUGCUUGGUGGUCCGGGGAGUGGCAUGAUUAGAAGGUAUGGCCCUGUUGGAGUAGGAGUGACCCUGUGGGUGUGGGCUAUAAGACCCUUAUCCUAGCUGCCUGGAAGUCAGUAUUCUGCUAGUGACCUUCAGAUGAAGAUGUAGAACUCUCAGCUCCUUCAGCACCAUGCCUGCCUGGAUGCUGCAAUGCUCCCACCUUGAUGAUAAUGGACUGAACCUUUGAACCUGUAAGCCAGUCGCAAUUAAACGUUG